ACAUAUGAUGCAUGAAAUGGGGUAUGUCC
rnacentral:piRNA from 1 species